rnacentral:rRNA from 1 species
CCUACGGGAGGCAGCAGUGAGGAAUAUUGGUCAAUGGGCGCAAGCCUGACCCAGCAAUGCCGCGUGAAGGCAGCAGGCUUUCGGGUUGUAAACUUCUUUGACAGGGGAAGAGCAGAAGACGGUACCCUGAAAACAAGCCACGGCUAACUACGUGCCAGCAGCCGCGGUAAUACGUAGGUGGCAAGCGUUGUCCGGAUUUACUGGGUGUAAAGGGCGUGUAGCCGGGAAGGCAAGUCAGAUGUGAAAUCUGGAGGCUCAACCUCCAAAUUGCAUUUGAAACUGUUUUUCUUGAGUACUGGAGAGGCAGACGGAAUUCCUUGUGUAGCGGUGAAAUGCGUAGAUAUAAGGAGGAACACCAGUGGCGAAGGCGGUCUGCUGGACAGCAACUGACGGUGAGGCGCGAAAGCGUGGGGAGCAAACAGGAUUAGAUACCCCGGUAGUC